GCAAUAGCCGCCACUCAGAGGUUACUUCUUCCUUCUCCGCCUUCUCUGGAUCACCUCCCUACCUCAUCCUCAAUCUAACGCUGGAAAUAUUGGAUAUGGGGUAGGUCACCAAAUGUUGCCAGAAGACUCAAAUUAUGCCACCCAUAUCUCAGCUGGGAAGGGCUUACCGUGGCCUGACUCUCCUCAGGGUCCAAGUCCCCAUUUAUGAUGUCCAGGCAGAAACACUUGUUUCUGACACAUAGUAGGCGCUGGAAAAUGUUAGUCAAAUGAACGAGGUCUGGUGUGGAGAGAAGAGAAAUCUUGGGAGAGUCAUUUAAGGGGGUGCCCAGUUGUCCUCAUAAAAAACACUAUCAUCAUCAGGGUGACCAAAGCAGACAUCAUAGGCAGGGGGUGGAGUCAGAGGCUCUAAUGUGGGGACUGCCGCCAAGCUCUGCAGAUCAGGAGCAGUGGACACAGCCCGUGGUCCCCGAAGCCGAAGGUUGAUUGGAGCUCUUCCAGGGCUUCCUUCCUGGGCCAUGGACCCCUCUGAGGCCAUUCGCCUCUGUUCCAGUUUGGCUCUCCUGGACCCCUCUGGAUGGCUAGGUUGUUCCUCCUCAGGUGCUGGGGGUAUCACAACAGUGCUGUAGGGGGGUGGUUGGUCCAACUCUUGGGGGCGGCACUGGGAUUCUAGUCCCACCACGGCCUCUUCAUAGACUGGCACUUCAAAGGCUUCAUUGUCCCUGAGGGAAGAGAAAUAAGGCCAUUGGUGGCUUCCAUGAAAGAAGCCCUUUUUCCCUUUUUUUUGUCUGCUGUGGGCAAAAGAUCCUCUGUUGGCCUCUGACCCCUCCUCCCGCUGAUGCCAAUGACAGGAAACCAGAGACUCUCUGCCUCAGAGACUACAGGGAGAGAGGGAGGAUGGGCCCAAGGUGUAUUCCUCUUACGAUGCCCACCCUUAACUCACCGUGCAUUGCCUGAGGGCCCUGGGCUCUCAGUCUGCAUUGAUUGGAGCUGGGACCGAAGCCCCCAUUCCAGAAACCGGACCAGGAGAUAGGCAAACAAGAAGAAGCCACCCAAUGUGAGAAAGAAAUAAGCAACGGGGGUGAUGUCCGUCUUUAUGCCCAGCAAAGCCAGCCCCAGUAGGAAGGAGGCGCAGCACAGGAGGAGAAGCGGCUUCUCCAGUCUCCCCAGUUCUUCAAUCUCAAAUAAAUCAUCUGUAGAGUCCCCUCCAGUUCCGAAAUUCUCUCUAUGUCUUGGAGUGUGUGGAAUAGCCAGGAAACCAGCCCAGGAGCUUUGACUCCCAGCCAUUCUCCCAUGCUCCAGGUGGAGGGAGAAAGUGCACACAGGCGCACCAAAGCCACAGGGACACAACUGCUUGAGAAACAAUUGUACAGGCAAAGGCCCAGCACAAUGGCCGGAGGCCCUGAUAACUCCUGUCCUCUUCUAGACCCCACAUCUGCCAGGGCCCUCCUCUACCCUCUGCUGAUCCUAACUUGUUAAACUCAGUUUGCAAAUUUCCUGCCAGGAGGUAGCCCAGUGGCUGGGAGGCGGUGGGCAGGGGAACUCUUUUCUUUCCUUGUAACAGCAACAACCCGAGGCAGCCCAUACCCCAGAAACAGCCUGUCAGAAGUUGCCAGCGCUCUGUGUAGCAAGGAAUUGCAGAUUCCCUCCUCACACCUCGGUCCCAAUCCCAUGACCCUCCCGACCCUCGCACCCACACCUGUCUCAGAAGUUCGUCGCUCACCUGUCUCCACAGACUGUAGAAAGUAGAUGGGGUGGGGGGUGGUGGGAAGGGCCGGAGCGGGUAGGUGGAGCCCACUGGCCCCACCCUCUUUUUCUGUCCCAAUCCCUGUUCUGGCCCAGUCAGUCUCCGCCCCUUUUCUCCCUAAGGCUGACUUCCAACUGCUGAACCUUGAUUUGUUCUGGUUUUUACUCUCUCCACCCACCCAUGCUGUACCCUAAUGAGAGUGCACCCCUGACUCCCAAUGAUCUUUGUACUUAGGACCGGAGUUAGCAUUAACCUUUCCCUCU
rnacentral:lncRNA from 10 species